rnacentral:misc_RNA from 1 species
GAUGAAGAACGUAGCGAAAUGCGAUAAGUAAUGUGAAUUGCAGAAUUCAGUGAAUCAUCGAAUCUUUGAACGCACAUUGCGCCCGCCAGUAUUCUGGCGGGCAUGCCUGUCCGAGCGUCAUUUCAACCCUCGAACCCCUCCGGGGGGUCGGCGUUGGGGAUCGGCCCUGCCUCUUGGCGGUGGCCGUCUCCGAAAUACAGUGGCGGUCUCGCCGCAGCCUCUCCUGCGCAGUAGUUUGCACACUCGCAUCGGGAGCGCGGCGCGUCCACAGCCGUUAAACACCCAACUUCUGAAAUGUUGACCUCGGAUCAGGUAGGAAUACCCGCUGAACUUAAGCAUAUCAAUAAGCGGGGA